rnacentral:rRNA from 1 species
GACGAACGCUGGCGGCGUGCUUAACACAUGCAAGUCGAACGAAAAGAGGGAAAGAGCUUGCUCUUUCCGGAAUUGAGUGGCAAACGGGUGAGUAACACGUAAACAACCUGCCUUCAGGAUGGGGACAACAGACGGAAACGACUGCUAAUACCGAAUAAGUUCCAAGGGCCGCAUGGCCCAUGGAAGAAAAGGUGGCCUCUACCUGUAAGCUAUCGCCUGAAGAGGGGUUUGCGUCUGAUUAGCUGGUUGGAGGGGUAACGGCCCACCAAGGCGACGAUCAGUAGCCGGAAUGAGAGGAUGAACGGCCACACUGGAAUUGAGACACGGUCCAGACUCCUACGGGAGGCAGCAGUGGGGAAUCUUCCGCAAUGGGCGAAAGCCUGACGGAGCAACGCCGCGUGAGUGAUGACGGCCUUCGGGUUGUAAAACUCUGUGAUCCGGGACGAAAAGGCAGAGUGCGAAGAACAAACUGCAUUGACGGUACCGGAAAAGCAAGCCACGGCUAACUACGUG